CGAAAAGAAUUUCCUCUGCAUUUCACAAUAUGUGCUUAUAUGUUCGACCAUACUAUUUUUGUAACGAAUUAGCAAUUUUUUUUUUUAAAAGUGUGUGCAUGUAUUCUUAAGUAAUUAUAAUGAAUAGUGAUUCAGUUGCAAAUUCGAUCGCUAAAAUACUGUGAAAUUUUAGUGCUUUGCGAAUACUCUGCAACACAGUAAAAUUUCAAACGAUGGAGAACCCUGCAGAAGUAACAAGCUACUAAAACUACUAACGUCUGCUAAAUGUUGUGUGAUGCGUCUAGUGUGUUGGUGUUAGUGUGUGUGUGCUUGUCACCUCUCGCUUUCAUCCAUCAUCGCUGGCUAGCAGCAAUGUGAAAAGGGAAGGAAUUUUUAUGUCUUCCCCUGCCAGAACAUAGCCUCUCCACAACAAGUCCUAUGCGAUGCCUCCACGUGGAAGCAGACGGAUACUGGGUACCAUUUGGUCCCAGGCUAAGUUCGCAAGGGCGCAUGGGAAGAUGAGUCUCAAAAGCAUUGGUAAACAUCUUAUCUAGGAAAGAAAACUGAUCACAACCCCUGUUUAGUAGAAGAAUCAAUUGAUAUAAGUGCUGGUUUUUAAAAGAAGUGAACCUUUGUUCAUUUUAUGUCUUUGUCAUAUUUUUUGUAAAAUUUCACAUUUUCAUCUUUGUCAAAAUUCAAGGAAACUUGGCAAAGAGUAUCCUUGGAUAAAUACCAUUAUGGGAUUUAAGUUUAUUCAAAUGAAGGCCCACUCCCUCUUCAAAUGGAAGAUUACUAUACAAAUACCGGUAAGUGAAAAAUUAAGGACAUCUUUUAAAAAUCUUCUGAGACAGGAAAGAGACACUUGUGUGGCAUCAUCCUCAGGUAGUGUAGAUUCAAAGUCAAAUCAAGACCCCAUGUUGGGGUCAGAAUAGGGGAUCAAAAAUAUAUAUUAUACUGUAGAUUCCUUAUUUUCGCGUGUAAUUAUUAUCGCGAAUAGGCUUUUCACUCUCAAAUCACGAGAAUAAUAAUUCGAAUGGAUGGUUGGUUAAAAGAUUUUACAUAGAUUUCAGCUCCAUAAAAAUAAAGGCGAGUAAUUUAAUUUUGUGUUUGAUGCCCCUUGCGAAAUUAUGCGAUAAUUACUUCCACGCAUAUAUUUAGGAAUCUACAGUAUGUACCCAGGGAUAUACAUAAUUGUUUUUUUCUCAAGCCACAAUUAGUCAUAUUGAUAUCAAAUCAUCCUUUUUGGUAGUGAAGAUUUCAUUUUGUUCAAAUCGUCUAUCGGGGAAAGGUUUGGGCCACAAUGGACAAUCAAAGUUUUACUUUGGAUUAUAUUGGAAAUAUCUUUAGAAAUCUAGCAUCUUCAUGUAGUGUAGAUUUAAGUUUGUUCAAAUUAUGACUCCCAUGUGUAGGGCAGAGCCCCAAUGGUGGAUCAAAAUCGACAGGGGAAUGUAUAGGAAACGUCCUCUCAAUAAUACCAAAGCCAUAUAUACCGGUAGUCAUAUUGAUAUGGGAGCAUCCUUAGGUAGUGUAGAUUCACAUUUGUCCACAUCUUGAUUCCAGGGGGCAGGGAGGGGCAUCAAUGGCCCGGGAUAGUAAUAUAUAGAAAAAAAAUCUAUGUUCAAGAACAGCUAAGCCAUUGUUAUUGAUAUGAAAAUGUCUCAAGGUAGUUAUAUUCCAAAAUUUAUACUUUUCAAUACUGGACUAAUUUGUGCAUUUACUAGCCAAUAUGCUUAGGUGAGCAUAUCGCUUUUGGCCACUUGUUUAUUUUAGAAAUCUUCUCACUUGGUAUGAAGUGCCAAUGAUCCCCUUUUGGUGUCUGUUUUUAUCUUUUUAAGCAGAAUAAUGUUAGGGUUGAACAGGAUCCUGAAGUGAGGAAGACUCCCUCUCCCAUUGAACUGCAGACAUCAGCAGAAAGCAGAAUUUCAGUUCCUCUUUAAUUCAAAAGAGGAAGAACAAUGGAGGACCAAGGUCAUUAAUAUAAGAAGAGUCUAUUCCUGUCUGUGUUUUGAAGGCAUUGUGUUUCAAAAGUGCAGAAGAAAGUUAAGACUGACUAGGAAUUCUAAGUAAGGAAGAAUCCCUCUCCCAUUUCGCUGCAGCCAUGAGGAGAAUAUUUGUACUUCUUUUUUUACCUAUGGAACUUCAUCAGGACCCACUUUAACAAGCAGGAGUCUUACAAGUAUUUUUGUUUAAUUAUUUCUGACAUAUUUCUGUCCUCCCUCCUCUAAAGUAACUAUGCAUUCCUCUCCUUGCCCCAAUAAUCCACCUUAUUCCUCUCAUAACCUGAUUGUCUUAAUUUGCUCUUUGAUUUUCCAGCUAAUAAUGUUGUAAUGAUUAUGAUCAUUUGAGUUUCUUUGAUUAUUACAUUGCUUUGAAUUAUUGCUUAUCUUCUCUCCAUCAAGUAUUUUUAAGGGAUUUGACAAGGGAAGAAGGAAGAAGACCAGUGCUGACCAAGAGAAGAAGAAGAGUUCAUUGCCAAGCUUUGUCUAGCAGACAGUAUCUGAUAAUGGAGCAGAAGAUGAGACUGACCUCAACUUGUUAACAAGACUGGAGAUGAAGGACUAACUACUGUCUAACCUGAAAUCUUUGGUAAGGGUUUAUGCUGGCAUUGAUCCUGUUUCCAAAAGCAGCUCGCAAUGUUUCUGUGAGAG